UCCGAGUGCAAAAUAGCUCAAUUGGUAGGGCUUGAAACUCUGAAUCUCAGGGUUAUGGGUUUGAGCCCCACAUCCGGCA